GAUGAACGCUGGCGGCGUGCCUAAUACAUGCAAGUCGAGCGAACGGACGAGAAGCUUGCUUCUCUGAUGUUAGCGGCGGACGGGUGAGUAACACGUGGAUAACCUACCUAUAAGACUGGGAUAAUUUCGGGAAACCGGAGCUAAUACCGGAUAAUAUUUUGAACCGCAUGGUUCAAAAGUAAAAGACGGUCUUGCUGUCACUUAUAGAUGGAUCCGCGCUGCAUUAGCUAGUUGGUAAGGUAACGGCUUACCAAGGCAACGAGGCAUAGCCGACCUGAGAGGGUGAUCGGCCACACUGGAACUGAGACACGGUCCAGACUCCUACGGGAGGCAGCAGUAGGGAAUCUUCCGCAAUGGGCGAAAGCCUGACGGAGCAACGCCGCGUGAGUGAUGAAGGUCUUCGGAUCGUAAAACUCUGUUAUUAGGGAAGAACAUAUGUGUAAGUAGCUGUGCACAGCUUGACGGUACCUAAUCAGAAAGCCACGGCUAACUACGUG
rnacentral:rRNA from 1 species